rnacentral:rRNA from 1 species
ACUCCUACGGGAGGCAGCAGUGGGGAAUUUUGGACAAUGGGGGCAACCCUGAUCCAGCAAUGCCGCGUGAGUGAAGAAGGCCUUCGGGUUGUAAAGCUCUUUUGUCAGGGAAGAAACGGUAGUAGCUAAUAUCCUAUUACUAAUGACG